rnacentral:rRNA from 1 species
ACUCCUACGGGAGGCAGCAGUGGGGAAUAUUGCACAAUGGGCGCAAGCCUGAUGCAGCAACGCCGCGUGAGCGAUGAAGGCCUUCGGGUCGUAAAGCUCUGUCCUCAAGGAAGAAUAAAUGAGGUACUUGAGGAGGAAGCCCCGGCUAACUACGUGCCAGCAGCCGCGGUAAUACGUAGGGGGCAAGCGUUAUCCGGAAUCACUGGGCGUAAAGGGUGCGUAGGCGGUUUUUCAAGUCAGAAGUGAAAAGGCUAUGGCUCAACCAUAGUAAGCUUUUGAAACUGUUAAAACUUGAGUGCAGAGAGGAAAGUGGAAUUCCUAGUGUAGAGGUGAAAUUCGUAGAUAUUAGGAGG